GAGCAAAUGAUGAUACAAAUUCAUAAGAGCUGAUUUCUCUUUGAUGUUUACAAAUUCGAGCUUUUUAAAACUGAUGCUCA